CUGGGUUGGACUACAAGAUCUCCAAGGUCCCUUCCCAGCCUAUUAUUCUAUGUUCUUUACUUUCACAGCACUUUCUCAGGAUGCUGCAUCGAACUGGAACAACAUCUGAUGUGGAAUCACUUAUAUACCAAGGAGGAGUGGCUAAAGAAUCUGCUGGUGGCUGCAUGGCAACCCUACUUAUGUGACCUGAACCCUGCUGGGGAGUGAUCAGCCCCAGGACCAUUUCCAGUUUAUCUAAAUUUUCGCUGGUUUCUUCAAUAUUGAUGAGGAUGAGGAGGAAGAUGGUGAGGAUAAGAAUAAAUUUGAAUUAUAUUUAU